rnacentral:rRNA from 1 species
CCUACGGGGGGCAGCAGUGGGGAAUAUUGGACAAUGGGCGAAAGCCUGAUCCAGCCAUGCCGCGUGUGUGAAGAAGGCCUUCGGGUUGUAAAGCACUUUCAGUGGGGAAGAAAGCCUUGGGGCUAAUACCCUCGAGGAAGGACAUCACCCACAGAAGAAGCACCGGCUAACUCCGUGCCAGCAGCCGCGGUAAUACGGAGGGUGCGAGCGUUAAUCGGAAUUACUGGGCGUAAAGCGCGCGUAGGCGGUCUGAUAAGCCGGUUGUGAAAGCCCCGGGCUCAACCUGGGAACGGCAUCCGGAACUGUCAGGCUAGAGUGCAGGAGAGGAAGGUAGAAUUCCCGGUGUAGCGGUGAAAUGCGUAGAGAUCGGGAGGAAUACCAGUGGCGAAGGCGGCCUUCUGGACUGACACUGACGCUGAGGUGCGAAAGCGUGGGUAGCAAACAGAAUUAGAUACCCUUGUAGUC